rnacentral:rRNA from 1 species
CCCUUAGAUGUUCUGGGCCGCACGCGCGCUACACUGACGGAGGCAGCGAGCGUGUCCUUCGCCGGCAGGUGCGGGCAAUCUUGCGAGUCUCCGUCGUGCUGGGGAUAGAUGGUUGCAAUUGUCGAUCUUGAACGAGGAAUUCCUAGUAAGCGCGAGUCAUCAGCUCGCGCUGAUUACGUCCCUGCCCUUUGUACACACCGCCCGUCGCUACUAUAGAGUGCCCGUGUCCAAGAAACGGUCGGACCUGUGCGGCCUCUCCGGGCGACCGGAGGGCCGUUACGGGGAAGACCCUUUAUUUGACGCGGGUCGAUGAAGUAAAAGUCGUAACA